GACCUCGUGCUAUGAGAUGAGCCUGCGUCGGAUUAGUUAGUUGGUAGGGUAAUGGCCUACCAAGGCGACGAUCCGUAGCUGGUUUGAGAGGACGAUCAGCCACACUGGGACUGAGACACGGCCCAGACUCCUACGGGAGGCAGCAGUGGGGAAUAUUGGACAAUGGGGGAAACCCUGAUCCAGCAAUGCCGCGUGUGUGAAGAAGGCCUUCGGGUUGUAAAGCACUUUCGGUGGGGAAGAAAUUCUUAAGGCUAAUACCCUUGAGCGCUGACGUUACCCACAGAAGAAGCACUGGCUAACUCUGUGCCAGCAGCCGCGGUAAUACAGAGAGUGCAAGCGUUAAUCGGAAUUACUGGGCGUAAAGCGCGCGUAGGUGGAUAUUUAAGUCGGAUGUGAAAGCCCUGGGCUUAACCUGGGAACUGCAUUCGAUACUGGGUAUCUCGAGUAUGGUAGAGGGAAGUGGAAUUUCCGGUGUAGCGGUGAAAUGCGUAGAUAUCGGAAAGAACACCAGUGGCGAAGGCGGCUUCCUGGACCAAUACUGACACUGAGGCGCGAAAGCGUGGGGAGCAAACAGGAUUAGAGACCCUGGUAGUCCACGCCGUCAACGAUGAGAACUAGUUGUUGGAGAGUUUACUUUUUAGUAGCGAAGCUAACGCGUUAAGUUCUCCGCCUGGGGAGUACGGCCGCAAGGUUAAAACUCAAAGAAAUUGACGGGGGCCCGCACAAGCGGUGGAGCAUGUGGUUUAAUUCGAUGCAACGCGAAGAACCUUACCUACCCUUGACAUCCUCGGAACUUGUCAGAGAUGACUUGGUGCCUUCGGGAACCGAGUGACAGGUGCUGCAUGGCUGUCGUCAGCUCGUGUCGUGAGAUGUUGGGUUAAGUCCCGUAACGAGCGCAACCCUUAUCCUUAGUUGCCAGCGGUUCAGCCGGGAACUCUAAGGAGACUGCCGGUGAUAAACCGGAGGAAGGCAGGGACGACGUCAAGUCAUCAUGGCCCUUACGGGUAGGGCUACACACGUGCUACAAUGGACAGUACAAAGGGUUGCCAAACCGCAAGGUGGAGCUAAUCCCAAAAAGCUGCUCGUAGUCCGGAUUGGAGUCUGCAACUCGACUCCAUGAAGCUGGAAUCGCUAGUAAUCGCGAAUCAGAAUGUCGUGGUGAAUACGUUCUCGGGCCUUGUACACACCGCCCGUCACACCAUGGGAGUG
rnacentral:rRNA from 1 species